rnacentral:lncRNA from 1 species
UCCAUCAAAACUCAAAAACCCUAGGAACCCCUUAACGAUUAUAAUCAAAUAACAAACACAUGCAUAUGAGGAGAAGAUCAGAAAUCAUCUACCACUAUGAAGACCAUGAACUGGUGAUUUUGAGAUCUUCAUGAGACUCCAAAGCAGAAGCUCUCCAAUGGUGAUCCACACAAGAUUGAUCAGGGCCCUUCCCAACUCAUCAUGAUGCUGCAGUCUUCUUCAUAAGUGCAUUGCCGAUAGUCCUUCGUAAGAACUCGAUGCACCAUUGCUUGUAUGCCUUCAUGACCUCCACUAGGACCACACUAGAAAUUUUUUUUCAAAGUAUCAAACCACACUCUAAUCAGAUUUUAUGUUCAACACAUGAACAAUCUGAUUUCUGGACAAGUAUCUCAUACUUUCAAUUUUUUUUCUCUCUUUCUUUCUAUUUUUCCUUCCCUUUCCCUUUCUAUUUUUCACUUCAGAUUUUUACCACCUCAUCCUCAUCUAAUUCCACAUACAAAAAACAUUUUUGGAUAGAUUUUAUGCCAAAUGAGGCAACCCUUAUAUAAGGGAUGAAGGGGUGCCACAUGUGACACCAAGGGGUGCCAACUCUUGGAGUCCCAACUCCUUAACAUGGUGAAAAUAAAUUUUCCACAUGAAAAUCAAGGGGUCAAGGC